rnacentral:rRNA from 1 species
AUUGAACGCUGGCGGCAUGCUUUACACAUGCAAGUCGAACGGCAGCGCGGGCUUCGGCCUGGCGGCGAGUGGCGAACGGGUGAGUAAUGCAUCGGAACGUGCCCAGUAGUGGGGGAUAGCCCGGCGAAAGCCGGAUUAAUACCGCAUACGACCUGAGGGUGAAAGCGGGGGACCGAAAGGCCUCGCGCUAUUGGAGCGGCCGAUGUCGGAUUAGCUAGUUGGUGGGGUAAAGGCUUACCAAGGCGACGAUCCGUAGCUGGUCUGAGAGGACGACCAGCCAUACUGGGACUGAGACACGGCCCAGACUCCUACGGGAGGCAGCAGUGGGGAAUUUUGGACAAAGGGGGCAACCCUGAUCCAGCCAUGCCGCGUGCGGGAAGAAGGCCUUCGGGUUGUAAACCGCUUUUGUUCGGGAAGAAAUCCUCUGGGCUAAUACCCCGGGGGGAUGACGGUACCGGAAGAAUAAGCACCGGCUAACUACGUG